GACGAACGCUGGCGGCGUGCUUAACACAUGCAAGUCGAGCGGAAAGGCCCUUUCGGGGGUCUCGAGCGGCGAACGGGUGAGUAACACGUGAGUAAUCUGCCCUGCGCUCUGGGAUAGCCACCGGAAACGGUGAUUAAUACCGGAUAGGACCACUUCACGCAUGUGAUGGUGGUGGAAAGUUUUUUCGGCGCAGGAUGUGCUCGCGGCCUAUCAGCUUGUUGGUGAGGUAACGGCUCACCAAGGCUUUGACGGGUAACCGGCCUGAGAGGGUGACCGGUCACACUGGGACUGAGACACGGCCCAGACUCCUACGGGAGGCAGCAGUGGGGAAUAUUGGACAAUGGGCGGAAGCCUGAUCCAGCAACGCCGCGUGAGGGAUGACGGCCUUCGGGUUGUAAACCUCUUUCAGUACCGACGAAGCGAAAGUGACGGUAGGUACAGAAGAAGGACCGGCCAACUACGUGCCAGCAGCCGCGGUAAUACGUAGGGUCCGAGCGUUGUCCGGAAUUAUUGGGCGUAAAGGGCUCGUAGGCGGUUUGUCGCGUCGGGAGUGAAAACACCGGGCUUAACUCGGUGCUUGCUUUCGAUACGGGCAGACUAGAGGUAUGCAGGGGAGAAUGGAAUUCCUGGUGUAGCGGUGAAAUGCGCAGAUAUCAGGAGGAAC
rnacentral:rRNA from 1 species